UGGUGGAGUGAUUUGUCUGGUUAAUUCCGAUAACGAACGAGACUCUGUCCUGCUAACUAGGUUGUGUUUCCUCGGGUUGGUGUUCUGGUGUUCCUUCUCGGGGCGCCGGCCCAAUCCACUUGUGAACACAACACUCUUCUUAGAGGGACUGGCGGCUGUUAGCCGCACGAGAUAGAGCAAUAACA
rnacentral:rRNA from 1 species